CAAGAGAGUCAUAGUUACUCCCGCCGUUUACCCGCGCUUGCUUGAAUUUCUUCACGUUGACAUUCAGAGCACUGGGCAGAAAUCACAUUGCGUCAACAACCGCUAGGUCCAUCGCAUUGCAUUGUUUUAGUUAGACAGUCGGAUUCCCCUGGUCAGUAGAGGUUCUAAGUUGUUCUUAAGAUGGUGGCCGUAGGAGACGCGCGGGACGGCCAGUUGCCCAGCCGCCGUGAUCAACGGCCCCCUGAAGCUUGAAAGGUCCACGGAAUAGGCCGAAGCGCUGGGACCGGGGUUGAUCUCGCCUUGCGGCUCGACCUCACCCAGGCCCGGCAUCCGACACAAGAACAGACCGCUUCUCUGACAAGCCCGACUCACCUAGAACCUCAGAGCCAAUCCUUAUCACGAAGUUACAGAUCCAAUUUGCCGACUUCCCUUACCUACAUUAUUCUAUCGACUAGAGGCUAUUCACCUUGGAGACCUGCUGCGGAUAUGGGUACGAACCAGAUCGGAUGUCCACGUGGCCCUCACCCGGAUUUUCAAGGUCCGAGAGGACGCUGCCGACAUCGCCGCAAGUGCGAUGCUCUUGGCGCGCUGCCCCCUAUCUCCCUGCUAGAGGCUUCCAGGGGGUGUGCGCACUUAUACAGAAAAGAUAACUC